rnacentral:rRNA from 1 species
UACGUAGGGGGCAAGCGUUAUCCGGAUUUACUGGGUGUAAAGGGAGCGUAGACGGCAAGGCAAGCCAGAAGUGAAAGGGCAGGGCUCAACCCUGUACAUGCUUUUGGAACUGUGGUGCUAGAGUGCAGGAGAGGUAAGUGGAAUUCCUAGUGUAGCGGUGAAAUGCGUAGAUAUUAGGAGGAACACCAGUGGCGAAGGCGGCUUACUGGACUGUAACUGACGUUGAGGCUCGAAAGCGUGGGGAGCAAACA